rnacentral:rRNA from 1 species
CCUACGGGUGGCAGCAGUGGGGAAUAUUGCGCAAUGGGCGAAAGCCUGACGCAGCGACGCCGCGUGAGGGAUGAAGGUCUUCGGAUCGUAAACCUCUUUCAGCAGGGAAGAACGGUCACUGUGCUAAUCAUCAGUGAAUUGACGGUACCUGCAAAGGACGCACCGGCUAACUCCGUACCAGAGGCCGCUGUAAUACGGAGGAUGCGAGCGUUAAUCGGAAUUACUGGGCGUAAAGCGCUCGUAGGCGGUAUGUCAAGUCAAGGGUGAAGUCCCCGCGCGCAACGUGGGAACUGCCUUUGAAACUGGCAAACUGGAGUGUGUGAGAGGAUAGUGGAAUUCGAGGUGUAGGAGUGAAAUCCGUAGAUAUCUGGAGGAACAUCAGUGGCGAAGGCGACUAUCUGGCACAUAACUGACGCUGAGGAGCGAAAGCGUGGGUAGCAAACAGGAUUAGAUACCCUUGUAGUC